rnacentral:rRNA from 1 species
GACGAACGCUGGCGGCGUGCUUAACACAUGCAAGUCGAACGGAAAGGCCCUGCUUUUGUGGGGUGCUCGAGUGGCGAACGGGUGAGUAACACGUGAGUAACCUGCCCUUGACUUUGGGAUAACUUCAGGAAACUGGGGCUAAUACCGGAUAGGAGCUCCUGCUGCAUGGUGGGGGUUGGAAAGUUUCGGCGGUUGGGGAUGGACUCGCGGCUUAUCAGCUUGUUGGUGGGGUAGUGGCUUACCAAGGCUUUGACGGGUAGCCGGCCUGAGAGGGUGACCGGCCACAUUGGGAAUGAGAUACCGCCCCAACCUCUACCGGAGGGCAGAGGUGGGAAUAUUGGCACAUGGGCGGAAGCCUGAUGCAGCAACGGCGGGGGCGGGAUGAACGCCCUCGGGGUGGAAACCGCUUUCGCCUGUGACGAAGCGUGAGUGACGGUAAUGGGUAAAGAAGCACCGGCUAACUACGUG